AGCAAACCGCCGAUGGCCCACGUAAGUGGGAUCAGGUAAGGGUGAAAGGGUGCGGUAAGAGCGCACCGCGCGGCUGGUAACAGUCCGUGGCACGGUAAACUCCACCCGGAGCAAGGCCAAAUAGGGGUUCAUAAGGUACGGCCCGUACUGAACCCGGGUAGGCUGCUUGAGCCAGUGAGCGAUUGCUGGCCUAGAUGAAUGACUGUCCACGACAGAACCCGGCUUAUCGGUCAGUUUCACCU
rnacentral:RNase_P_RNA from 1 species